UAAACGAAUUCUUUCUCUUAAAGGAAUUGGCGGGGGAGCACCACAAGGGGUGAAGCCUGCGGUUCAAUUGUUUGUCAACGCCAGAAAUCUUACCCGGAGAGACAGCAGAAUGAAGGUCAAGCUGAAGACUUUACCAGACAAGCUGAGAGGUGGUGCAUGGCCGUCGUCAGCUCGUGCCGUGAGAUGUCCUGUUAAGUCAGGUAACGAGCGAGAUCCCUACCACUAGUUGCUAUCAUUACUCUCAGGAGUAGUGGAGCGAAUUAGUGGGACCGCUGUAGUAAUAUGGAGGAAGGAAGGGGCCACGGCAGGUCAGUAUGCCCCGAAACUCUGGGGCCACACGCGGGCUGCAAUGGUAGUGACAAUGGGCGCCUAACUCGAAAGAGUGCGGCAAUCCUUAAACGCUACCACAGUUAUGACUGAGGGCUGUAACUCGCCCUCACGAAUAUGGAAUCCCUAGUAACUGCGUGUCAUUAUCGCGCGGUGAAUACGUUCCCUGCUUCCUUGCGGCACACCGCCA
rnacentral:rRNA from 1 species